AAGAAGCUUGGUGAGUUAAAGGAAGCAAAGGAGUCAAAGAAGAGAAUAAAAGAAGUAAUUUUUGAAAAAAACAACUUAGCUUCUGGAUUGGGUUUUCAAAGCAAAUUGGCUUCCGAAUCCACUGCCACGCCCAACCAAAACCACCUCGCGAUCAACCAUUGUGGACCAAAAAUCUAAAGUGGCACGUUUUUAAUAUGUGCUUGGAUCAAACACGAGCUUCAAGCUCCUUAGCUUCUCUAGCACACUUCAUUUAUGAUUUUUAGAUGCUUUGCAAGUCAGAAAGGGAGACCUCUCUUCAUCUAUAAAAGAGAGGCUCUGAUGGUGGACCAUCUAAGCUUCAUAUUGGACCUCUAACAAGAGCCAUGUCAAAGAAGAUACAAGAAGAAGAGGGAGCACUCACUACAUUACUUCUAUGGAGUAUUUUCUAUUAAACCUUUUCUUCUACAAAAACUAAAUAUGCUUGUUUGUUUUGUAGAUCAUCAAAGGGAAGAAUAAAGCAUCACUCAUGGCUAAGACUUGCUAAGCAUGUUUUGCACAUGGAAAACACCAAGAUAGCCACACUUUUGCCAUUUUCCACGUGCAACAAAGAGGUUGGCCGAGACUCACAUGUGGAGCACCAUUUCCAUGCCUUUUUCACGUGAUUUAACCAUGUAUAACUCAUGUAACACAUUUAGCAUGUGAAACACACCUUUCACACUUCAUUUUCUGCAUAUGUUCAAUUGUUAGCUUCCUCUGCACACCUCAUAGCUCUUCUUCUUCUUAUAAAAGAGGAGCACCACACUUGUAACCUUCAACUUGAAUUGAAGUAAAGAAAUGCUGCCAAAUUUCAGCUUUCACUCUCAAGUUCACUCUUGUGCAAUGUUAUCUUGCCUAUCCUCUAGCUCCUUUUCCCUUAGGAAAGCUCUCUGAGUUAGANUUCAACAAUACUCCAUCAUCAACCUCUCUCGGACCUUCAUCAAACACCUUGACUACACCUCAUCCAUCAUCAUGGCAUCCUUCAUCCGCUGCCCAAAUCUGAACCCGUGAAGCUUCUCCAAGCAUGAAUUCGGUGGAGGCUUCUAUCAAGUGGUAUACAGAGCCAGACGUUUUCAUCCACGCUUCAUGAGAUAAGCAUCUCGUUUCCAAUCUCUGUUUUUUUUUUUUUCCGACUUGUGCAGUUCAUAAUGUCACUAUUUCAUCCANUUUUUUUUUUCUGAUUCAUUGUGUUUGAGUGGAUCUUGAUUCAUUCACUGUUCCAUAGGUGUUUUUCUUCAUUUUAAUCGGUGCAUCUUCUUGAAUUUUCGUUUAAUCCAGCUUCA
rnacentral:lncRNA from 1 species